GGUUUAGUGAGAUCUUCGGAUUGGAACCGCCGCGGUCGGCAACGGUCAGGUGGAUUUCGAGAAGUUGAUCAAACUUGAUCAUUUAGAGGAAGUAA
rnacentral:rRNA from 2 species